GUUCAGUGAUUUUCUCAUGAAAUAUUCUCACACCUCAGGUCAGAAAAAGAAAAAACUCUCUCUGUGAACAUCUUUUUAUUUUUUUUAUAUUUGACUUCUCCAUCUGCCCGCUGUGGCUCAUGUGGAAUGUGAUGGACGCUCAUUCCUCGGCAUCAUGUGGUCGCUGAAAAAACAGAGGAGGACUCUUGUUGGCUGAAGCAUGAAAAGGGAGGCUGGGCUUUAAAGGGGCAUGAAAUGAAGUCCUCAUGCUGUCAGUACAGGCCGUGGUCAGGAUCAGAGUCGACUUCAUGCCUGUGAAUAAUCUUGCUCUGCUGAUUAGGAUUUUCCUUCUGUUCCUCUCGGCAGCUUAAAUUCAGCCUGUAAUCCUGUUUCAUCUCCUCUAUUCCAUAUUUACAGAAACACGACGAUGGUAUCUGAUAGUGUGAUAUGAAUAUUCAAGUUGGCUUUCAACCUCGGACUUUCUCUCGCUGGCAGAGAGAUUUUUAUGUAGAUUUUUUAUUUUGCAGAGGUUUUCAUCUAAAACGGGGAAAAAGGCCUCGAUGCUGCUCUGUGCUUCUUUAGAGUUCUGCUGUUCAAUCUGUCAACGUUAAGUCAGGCUUUAUGACGAACAACAGACACUGAAUACCUCUUCAUUUACUCUCAGCUGAAAGUUAGUCAGCUCUAUAGAAACGCCUGAGAUGGCCUCGCAGACAUACAAUUAUCUCAAGUAUGCAGUAACACGCUGUAGCUCAGACCUCAGCCUCGUCUCAUGUUCAGUUUUCAUAACAACCUCCUUCAACAACUGGAGCUGUUGUUUGUUCACUUUCUGAACCAGCUUGUUGAGUUUUUCAACAGCGGACAGUUGAUCUGGACGUUUUCUAGAACGACCACAUUUCUGUCACAUGGGGGUGUUGUAAAUGAUAAAACAGUUUUAUGACAGGAAACGGGUAUCGGGCUGCUGGUUGACAUAGCAAUUUAAACCUGGGAAAGAAAUAAUGAGGCUACAGUCCUGUCAGUCUUCACUCCCCAGAUAUCCUGUUUCUGUUCAAUCUGACAAAAACCAAAGUCAGAAAUAAACCAUUUAAAAAGAACAUCAUGGGUGAAAACUAACCCAAGUGUUCAUGCUUUCACAUGAUGGAUAGAGAUACGAACCAAGACCCAAACACGUCUCUGUCCCAGCCUGAGGGUCUGUGAGAGUACUGCAUGGGAACUACUUAACGGGUUAAUAAAAGGGGUUAUAUAAGGGAUUGUCCACGAUGGCUGCAUACCAAUUACCCACACAGGUGUCACUCAGGAUUAUACUGGCUGCCAGAUGGACCCAACCGGGCCAAAUACAAAAGAGCCAUCUUGGUUCCUGCUAGAUUUGGACUCUACGGUUUAUAAGUGGAAAUAAUGGAUCCGUACCAACUACUCCUUUGGGUUCAGAGGCUUGAUACUGGAUGGUAAUGAGGCUCAAAUGGAAAUGUUUGUUCUCUAGUCUUCUUACAUGUCACUGAGAUCUGGUCCUCUACUACUAACCUCAUUUCUCCAACAAUCAGGUCUGAGCCGUGAACCCCAGAGAAUCAGAGCUUUUUCUUUGGAUGCCUCCUUCCCCUGAAUCUCACCUGUGUUUUUUUAACGUGUCUUGUUCUCUUAUUAUUAUUGUGUUUUUGCACAAUCAAAAUAAAUAAAUGAUCACUGUUAUCAUUAGCCUUAGUGUAGUGAAUGCAGUUUGAGGUUCAGCAUCCUUCUCUGUGGACAGUUGCUCUUUCUCCUGAGCCACAGCUGCCAAAACCUAGAAUAGAGAAACAAUUCAGCCUCAGAGUGGAAAAGUCCUGGAUUAAACCUGACAGAGACUCUGCUGAACAAAAUACCAACAGCACAGAUGAGAUCCAGCCAGCUGUACAAGCUGUUUUCACCCAAUUUACAGACAGAGCCGGAGCUCAAAUCCCCAUCAUACUCACACUCAUAUUCACUGUUAUCAGUCGGUGUCGGCUGAUUGGACGCCUGCUUUGAAUAACGAGUCUUCAGUUGGAAAAACACAAUGUCAUCAGACUGUGGGGACUGUCUGACAGGUGCUCCACACCAGAUAUCAGCUUCAUUAAUUAAAAACCUUCUUAAAGGCUAAAUUAAAUCAUUUCUUUGUAAUUUGAGGGAAAAACUUAAAGUGUCGCUCAGCAGUCAGAAAUGGUAGUACUGCAUAAGAGUGUCCCAGCUCAGUGGAAACACAGGCUGGACAUCGAUGUCCUACAGAAAACCACGUUUCACUUUGUGUGGAGGUCUCAGACUGAAGUGCAGGAAUCCGUUUAUUAAAUGAGUUUUUGAGAACACUUCUGAGGACUGAUGUUUUUGUCUAACUUUGCAGAUUACAUUUUGUAAAAGAGAAGUGAUCAAAUUUUGGAUGUUGGUUGAAGAACAUGGAUGGAUAACAGUUUUGGGAAUCUGUAUGAACAAAUACAUCCUGAAUUCGGAUCGUGAAAUGCCGACAAUAACGUAGAAUUUGCAGCCGUUGUUUUGAGAGAUUUUGAGUUUUAUUUUCUUUAACUUUAUGGCUUCACAGACGCUGCGUCAUUAAAAUCAAACUGUGACUGGACAGAGUUUUUCUCUCUAUCCUGCUAGAUUUAGCUCAAAACGCCAUUAUCUCUUGCUGACCUGUCAAUCAUUAGUUAUUUUUUCAAUAAUGUGUUUCCUCCAGGUCAAAUAAUUGUUAUAAUAAUAAUAGUUAUAGUUAUUUUUUAAUACAUUAAAAACAGGUCCAAAGUAUUUUUAGUUGAAUCUUUCAGUCAAAACUACGACUUUCAUCUUAAAUUCUGACCUUAACUUCUGAAGUUUUCAGACUUAAACUUAAACAUGCUGUUGAUUUUAUCUUUUUAUUCUUGCACUUUCUCCAACUCUAAAACUUUUAUGAAGUCUUUUAGUUGAUGGUUUUGUUUUGGCAGCUUGUGAAGAGAAACAACUUUUAGUGUUUCUUAACCUAAAAUAUUCAAACUGAGUGAAAUCUGUUCACUAACUUUGCCCAAAUGUAAAAUUGCUCCCACACUAAAGGACACUCUUGUUCUUUUCUUUCUUCUUGUGGGAUGUUGAUCAGAGUCUGAGCUUUAACUGAGUCUGGAUCUGAUGUGAAAAACUGCGGCUCUCCAUUGACCCUGAGAAGUUCUGACUGUCUCAUCAAAAUGUCGCUUGUCCUGACGCCGUCGACAUCGAACUCAUCACCUCAACCUUUUUGAGCAGCGUGCUGUCACAGCUCGAUGCUUUUCACUCCCUCCUCCUUUGAUUCGACCAGUUUCACUUUGAGAGAUGAUGUUUUAUAUCAAUCAAUCUCUGUCUCCAUAUCAGGGGCCGUCUCUUCAAUCUGAGUCAUGAUCUUCAGCCCUGUGAUUCGCCGUGGGUAUGGGUGAAUAAUUGGGGGGCUGAGAUUCAGAGCCUCAGACGGAUCAAACUAAGAAAGAAAGGCGAGGCUGACAGCUCGGGGGGGCUGCCGUAUAAAAGAAGCAGUGAAGCUGCAAGAAGAUGCUAAUUCUUCCCUUUUCAAAGCAGAGAUCCUUCUCCGAGCAAAAAUGGAGUCAGUGACCUUCCUCUCUCGGGUAAUCUAGUUCAGCUUUUAAUAAAACCUACAAUGAUCCUCAGCCUGAUGUAAUAUGCAGAAUACAUGGCCUUUAGGAGCUGCUGAUGGUUUUUCACCAGCUUGACAUUAUUACACUGUCUGCUGUUGUUGUUGUUUUUCUUUAGCACAUUUCUACAUUGUUUGUAAUCUCAUAGUCUCUUAUCAUUUCCUACAGGGAAGAGGUGAACACGGUCUAAUCGCCUUUUCUUCUUCACCCCCCAGCUCCCAGCACCCCUCUGAGGGCAGCCAGCAUGAGAGCUAAUCCCUCAGCAGCUAAUGAGGGCAGAAAGAAUCAGACCCGGACCCUGACUUCUGCACAGAUUUCCAUUUGGCUCCUCCAAUUCUCUCCAUCACGCAGCCUCACUGCCAUGAAUACAAUAGCUGAAAAUGUACAGAGACUAAAGACCGCGGCGAAUGAAUCGAGUUGAGAUUAAGAGCAGUCCUCGUGGUCAAAUCAACGAAGGGAAAAACUCGCAUUAAACUCAGUGCUGGAGAUUUACAUUCUAAUCAGAAACCGAGCUUUCACUUAAUGCACAGAGAUCCAAACAAAUCUACAAUAACAUCACUGCAACAGGAAGAAGGCGUCUAAAUCCUUUCAAAGUAAUGGAAUUACCCAUAAUGACUAGCAUUAACAUUUAGAGCUGUGUCCAAGUGUUCUGGUUGUUGGUUUGAUGCUGCCUCUGUUGCAUUUAGGGAAACAAAACUGUCAGAGUUUUUUAGUUUGCAGACAUGGAAGCAGCAUCCAACAGAGUCCAUCACUGUCAUCAGGUACCUGAGACGAGUUUAGAUCCUUUUAGAGUCCAUCACACUGCAGAGGUAAACAAAAGUAAAACUGGAGUGUUGCUACCACGAGAUCGAAGGUAACAGAGGAGUCCUAAAGGAGUCAAUUUCUGUGUUAAUAGAAAGGUUGAGAAUAAUGUCUUGAGAAAAAACUCUUACUGAAGCCGACACAGUCUAAACAGAAACAGCCUCAAGAGGAGGAGAGGAAAUAUCCGUGAACUGUUGGAGCACAUGAGCUGACAGAAGCAUCUGCAGCAAACACAUUUCUAAAGACUCGGUCGCUGCUUGGGAGGGACUUCUUUGUUGUCCUUUUCAGUGUGACUGCCAAGGUCACCAGCUAUAAAUAUACAUGUAAAGGCAUGUGAGGACUUUAACGCCUCACUUUUCCUUCACUUCACACUCUUUGAUUUAGAAGUCAGGAGUAAAGUCCAGCAGCGUUCUCACAUUAGGCAGUCUCUCUCGUCCUCUGAGUAAGAACUGAUUUUAGGUCAGUUUUGUUUGUCAGUGAAAACUUACUCAGGAAACCUCUCAGUCAUGUAUGCAUGAGUAUGUAACCUCAUAUUUUUAGAGACACCUGUGUUAUCAUGCACUGUUGUUGAAAACAAGCCCAAAAUAACCUGCUGGCUAAGGAUUGUUUAUGCACCCAGUUAAGCUCCGCCCACCAAAACCAUAAUGCUGUAUGUGAACACGAGAAGUCUCUUUAGUAACUGUGAUUAAAGAAAAUUCAUCCUGUGAGAAAUAAACUGGUGGAUCUGAAAAAUGGACCGGAGCUGGUCUGAGGACUAAAGAGCUGCUGCGACGACUUUUAUCCUUUAAAAACGGGAAAGUCUUGAAUAAUACGCUCAUUAAGAUUUAGUGCUGGGGGAGGGGAGUGUUUUUGGUUCUGUCUCUAAAAAAUAGGGCCGUUAGCACCCCCCUUUGGGUAAAUAGGAGAACUGCAGGGGCACAGGGAUAUUCUUAGGAAGAUUAAAAAAAUAUUCGUCAAACAUUAUUUCUUGAACAAUUGUGAUUCAAUAAAAAAUAAAGUGUUUUUAUUGUACGUUUUUUAUUGGGACACAUCACACUGAGGUCCCUUAAUAUACUAAACAUAUGUUGUACAGGUAAGUGGGUAUUUUUCUGCAGUACAUAUACUGUAUAUUAUCAAGUUGGUCGAAAGUCCAGGACUUAAGGAGCCGGAUGUUGCUGUCAUUAGUGCAUCAAUUGAUUCCAUCAAAGUUAUGUUCCAUAUAAACACAGUAUGAGGUUCUGAUAUGAGCUGAGAGGUUUUAAUAAAAACACUUUUACUGACAGGAAUAAUUGACAAGCUGCAGUUUCUCUUUGGCUUUCUUACUGCACUCAGUGGUACUUCUGAAAAGUAUGACCUUCUCAUUUGUUAUAUAACAUGAAUGGUGACUCACAUUAACAUUUUCAAGCUAAAUAUUUCUUUGCAGUAUUUGCACAUUCUGAUAUAUAAAGACAUGCCUUCAAUUGCUCUCCUGUCUAAUGUUACGGAGGCCGAAA
rnacentral:lncRNA from 1 species